AUUGAACGCUAGCGGGAUGCCUUACACAUGCAAGUCGAACGGAGUGGCGAACGGGUGAGUAAUGUAUCGGAACGUGCCCAGUAGCGGGGGAUAACUACGCGAACGCGUAGCUAAUACCGCAUCCUCUUGGCGUGGCCUCUAUCGGAUUAGCUAGGUGGUGGGGUAACGGCUCACCAAGGCGACGAUCCGUAGCUGGUUUGAGAGGACGACCAUCCACACUGGGACUGAGACACGGCCCAGACUCCUACGGGAGGCAGCAGUGGGGAAUAUUGGACAAUGGGGGAAACCCUGAUCCAGCCAUCCCGCGUGUGUGAAGAAGGCCUUCGGGUUGUAAAGCACUUUUGGCAGGAAAGCGGUACCUGCAGAAUAAGCACCGGCUAACUACGUGCCAGCAGCCGCGGUAAUAC
rnacentral:rRNA from 1 species